CGCUAGUAAUCGCGGAUCAGCAUGCCGCGGUGAAUACGUUCCCGGGCCUUGUACACACCGCCCGUCACACCACGAGAGUUUGCAACACCCGAAGUCGGUGAGGUAACCCUUACGGGAGCCAGCCGCCUAAGGUGGGGCAAAUGAUUGGGGUGAAGUCGUAACAAGGUAGCCGUAUCGGAAGGUGCGGCUGGAUCACCUCCUUUCUAAGGA
rnacentral:rRNA from 1 species